AAAUUAGGUUGGGGGCCUUCCCGCAAGACAUAUACUUCAUGGGUUUGAAGUGAGGAAAUCAGGGACCAGAAGGUUUCAACCAAGAUAGAGAGAUAUGAUCAUAUAUAUUAUAUAUAUAUAUAUAUAGAUAUAUGGAGCUAGCUAGCAUGCAGUACGGGUGAGUGGAUUCCAUGCCGUGCUUGUCAAGUUUGCAGUCUUUUUGCCGAUUAAUCCUUUGCUUCGUUGUCUGUUCGACCUUGCACAUAUGGUCAUCAAAAACCCUAAUUGGAAUUGCUCAAUGAAAGAAAACCAGUAGUGAUAAGUUCAGUUUUAGUUUUCUCGCUGAUGAAUUUCCCUUUGAAAUAACGACAUAUAUAGAAGAAGUGAUCAUCACCAGAUUAAUUAAUUAGUAUCAACACACCUUACAACUUUUAGUUUUUCUCCCUCUUUCUCACCAACAAAAAAUUAUCCUCUCUCUCUCUCUCUCUCUCUCUCUACUGUACUUAUAUCUGUAAUAUGUAUUUUAUGUGCUAUUUCUUAGGAGUAAAAUUUAGACGUACGUGUAUAGAGAUUAUAUAUACCACUUUUUACCUGAUUUGCAGGUGAACUGAAAAUUAGUAACAAAGGAAUAAUUAAUACAAGGCGUUUUAUUAAUUACUUAUCUAGAGUAGUACUGAUACUUCUUCUGUUGCUCGUAGGCUUUGAUACAUAGAUAGAUAUAUAGGUUAAUUGAUCAUCAAGAUAUAUUUAGUUAGAAUAUAACGAUAAUAUAUUUGAAUGAAAUUUGAGAAGGCUAUCAGAUUUUGGUGUCAUAGAAUGUCCAUGUAUGGUUAUAGAAGAAGUACUUCUAGGUCUCGAUCCGUACUGGUUGAGGGGGGACUUAAUUUGGGACUAGUAAAUAUAUUUAUAUUAGCAUUUCUCAUCCACUAAUUUGCUUGACACAGUGUGAAGAUUUAUAGGGAUUUGAAAAGGAAAAAGAACUGAGAUAUAUAUUCUAUAUAUGAAGGAUAUAAUUAAACACCAAUAACAUGUCAGUGAUAGUAAGCUAGAUAGCUGCUUUAUUAGGAUUAUUAAAGAAAAAAAAAAAAAAUCAACGUGUACGUGCCUGCCCUAAUCUAUAUUUGAUAAAAGUUAUUUAAUAAUUAAGGGCAUGCAUGGCAAUCUUUGAUGGUUCUAAUUAAAAUGUUGUAAUAUAUAUAUAUCAAAUAUUUUGGUGAAUAUAUGUAUAUACUAUUUAAGUCUCUUUAAUUAAGUAGAUCAUCAAGGAUAUCAUUUGUUCAUUUUUUCGAAAAAAAAUCUGAAGUGAUAUUUAUUUUUCAUUGACUGAAACAUUCAUCCAAAAAGACAAAAACAUUGAUUGGUCAUGAACAACAUUCUAUAUAUAUAUAUAUAACAAAUGCUAAAUAUUUAAGGAUCCUCUGUGUGUGUAUAUACGUGUCCCCCUCCCCUUCUUGCAUAUAUCAGUGGGUGUCAGAGCAACAAAAAUAUGGUUUGACUAGCCAGUAAAUCCUCUGCAGGGAGGUGAUAAAUUUUUAACUUCUAUCAUAAGGUUGCUAGCUCGAUCGCCCACCGGUCGUACAAUUAAGACGUACAAUUAUAUAUUUAUAGGUGGAUAAACUACUGACCUUUCUUUUAAUGAAUAUUUUCCCACCAAACAGUAAAACAUAAAAUAUCAAAACUAGGUCUAUUGUUGGUGGGUACGAUAAUUUCGGGCUAUAUAAGGUCAACAUGCUUGAAAAUCCGUUGUAUGACUAAUUAGGAAUUCUAAGCUGCAUGUGUUUUUACUAUUUUUCGUUAUUGAUAUAUAUAUCUCUCACUUUAAAAGUCUCUAAUGUACUCAUCAUUCCUAUAACUUAUACUAUUUUUCCUCUUAAAGUUACAUCAUAAUAUAUGACUUUUUUCAGUUUGGUUGCCUCACUAGAAUAUCGUUUUUCAUUUGAUUGUAUUUGAUAAAAUAUCUAAAUAAUAAUAAAUUGAUAAUAUCAUUAUGUUUUUCUAUACUCCCUUACAUUCUAACCUAUGCUAGCUUUUUUGUUUGAUGGAUGUGGGAGAUGGCCAUCCCCAUGGGGAGAUCAUUAGCUAGGGACCGCUUUGUAGUUUAACACUUUUAAUUAUGAUAAAGAGAAAUGUUAGUUAUAUAUUACACAUUUAUUUCACUUAUUUGAUCUCAUAGAGUUUAUAAAUUUUUAAUUUUUUUUUUUAAACAAGAGUUGAUCGACGGUAUUGUCGCAUCAAUACAGUAAAAUAAAAGUACAUACAAAGGUUGGUGAAGAAUAUAUGUCCACCACCAAAUUAAUUAAUUUUUGUUUCAUGCUAGAGCUGGCUAGACAUAGAGGGGACAUCUUAAUUUCUCUGUGUAGUACUACUUGCAGGCAAAACCCUAACCUGCUUUUAAGAGUUAAUUUGCAGACAACCAUAUUUGUUUCUGGGUCAUGUUAUAGGAAGUAUAGGCUAAACUGAAAGUGAUAAGCCAUUUUCUGGGCCUAAAAUUAAUGAAUUUGUUUGCAGACACGUAUAAAUAAAUAUUAUACCUAGGAAAUUAAAGACCAGUGCUAUUUAGGUCGAACUGAGAACGAAUCUGAGGUAUAAGCAAGGGACUGUUCAUUUGACAAGGCAUUGCAUGGAAUUCAACAUCCUUUUGUCCUUUUACACUGUUUCUUCCACGCCCUGAAACAGAAAUCAUCACCUUUUGAAGAUAAAAAGUCAAGACGUAUACAGAGAAAUUAAACCAUGCGAAGCCACAGAAACAUAGCACAGUACUCCAUUGGUCGUCAAUCCAUGAAAGGAAGCAAAAAAUAGUCGAUGAUAUAUAUAACUUGUGGAUCAAUUAUUCUCAUAUAAAUGAAUAGAUUAUCCAUCUAAUAUAUAUAUAUAUAUAUAUAUAUAUAUAUAUACGAAAUACAAAUUGUUAGGUUUUUUGGAUAACCAAGAUUAAAAUUAAGGGCUUUUAAAGUACUGUUCAUGCAUUUGAAUAAUUUCUUCUUCCUACUAUCACAUGAAUAUUUUAUUUUCUUUAUAUGAAAAAAAAAAAUGUUAUCUCAAAAGGACAAUUGGAUAGAAAGUCCUUGAUCUCAAUAGCACCCAUUCGUAUGUAUUUUCUUUAUAUCGUUACCGACUGGAUCAUUUUUUUUCUUUUUCUUUCUUUACCUUAAGAGGAAAACUGGAUGAAUAAAGUAAUACCCGGAAAAGUUAUGGUCUUUAACAUGAUUUUUGAGAACAUCUUUGCUGAAUCAAGGCUUGAAAAACUCUCACAAAAAAAAAAAAAAAACUCUGUUCUCUCUCAUCCAGAAAAAAGCACGGGCUAGGGAGGAGGAAGUCACGGCUCUCUCCUCCCAACCGUUUCCCUCUACUUCCCCCUUCUUUUUUUCCCUUCCCCUUCUUGCUACGUACCACCUAUUCAAAGGUUCUAUCUGCCUAAUCGGAGGCUUUAUCUGCCUCUUGGGAGGUUCGUUCUUUGACCAAUUUCACCAUCAGCUCCUUUUCUACUGCUAGACGCCCUGUUUCAGCAUCUUACAGUGGUCCUCCGCCCUUGAUCUACAAACUUUGUGAAGUUUUUUGAUUUGAUUUUUUCAAAUUUAGAUCUGUAAAUUUCAGGAAGUCACUCCCAACAAUGUCUCACUCCACCAGGAUCCUGGGCCACCCAGCUUUCAACAGCCACCAUCUGUGCCACCAUUCGACCACCAUGCACCGACGCGUGGCCCACACGCUACGACAUGUGUUGCGCCCUUGGCAGCGCGUGCGACAUUUUCUCGCCCCUCCUCAUUGCCACCGGUCGUUUCUAGCGUUCCUUGAUAGUCUCCUGGCAAGCUUCGCCGGCACGUCCCUCACGCGCCUCCCGAAGCUCUUCCAUGCCUCCCCCUCUGCUUCUGAUGCUGCUGUUUUUUGCUCUUAGAUUUUUCCUGCUUAAUGUCUUUUAUUUUCUUUAUGUUUUGUUGUUGUGUAAGUUUCUGUUAAACCCGAUAUGUUUGGGCUUACUCUUAGUCUGUGGAGUGGAUCUUUUUUACUUUUAUUUCUGGUUUCUUUUGAAAACAUUUUUUCCAACGUUACAUUUUAUCUAAAUCUCCAUGGCUUUUUAGGAAGCCUAUUUAGAUGUUUGAUAGGGGUAUUCGUAUUCCCAAUGGAUUUAUCCAUCAGUAUGCGCCGCGAUAUGAGUUUUCUCAGGCUGUAUUUGCAUUUGUCCUUUCCCUUUAUGGUCUCAUUCUUGUGCUAAUUUGUGAGGUCUGGCCGGUUGGGGUUUUAAUAAGCUUGUUUUUGUUUUUUCUUUUC